rnacentral:rRNA from 1 species
UCCAGACUCCUACGGGAGGCAGCAGUGGGGAAUAUUGGGCAAUGGGCGCAAGCCUGACCCAGCAACGCCGCGUGAAGGAAGAAGGCUUUCGGGUUGUAAACUUCUUUUGACAGGGAAGAGUAGAAGACGGUACCUGUCGAAUAAGCCACGGCUAACUACGUGCCAGCAGCCGCGGUAAUACGGAGGAUGCGAGCGUUAUCCGGAUUUAUUGGGUUUAAAGGGUGCGCAGGCGGAGGUGCAAGUCAGCGGUCAAAUUGCGGGGCUCAACCCCGUACUGCCGUUGAAACUGCAUCCCUUGAGUGCGCGAGAAGUAUGCGGAAUGCGUGGUGUAGCGGUGAAAUGCAUAGAUAUCACGCAGAACUCCGAUUGCGAAGGCAGCAUACCGGCGCGCAACUGACGCUCAUACACGAAAGCGUGGGUAUCGAACAGGAUUAGAUACCCUCGUA